UUUUUCCUACGGGGGGCAGCAGUGGGGAAUAUUGCACAAUGGGGGAAACCCUGAUGCAGCGACGCCGCGUGAGUGAAGAAGUAUUUCGGAUUGUAAACUAUUGUCGUUAGGGAAGAUAAAAGACUGUACCUAAGGAGGAAGCCCCGGCUAACUAUGUGCCAGCAGCCGCGGUAAUACAUAGGGGGCAAGCGUUAUCCGGAAUUAUUGGGUGUAAAGGGUGCGUAGACGGAAGAACAAGUUGGUUGUGAAAUCCCUCGGCUCAACUGAGGAACUGCAACCAAAACUAUU
rnacentral:rRNA from 1 species